rnacentral:lncRNA from 1 species
GUACUGGAUUUAUUUAUGUAUAUAAAACAGGAGCAACUAAAACCAGUGAGACCUGUGUGAGAAACGAUCUGAAAUAAACCGUGUGCGUGCCUAAGAAAUCCUCAAUUCAUAAACAAAUGAUUCAUGCGAAGAUCUUAACAAUGAAUCAUUUGCUCUAGUUCCCAGAUCCACUCUGAAUUGUUUGCUCUGAAUGAUUCAGAUUGAUUCAGCGCUUUAAUUCAACUCGCAGACUCAAUGAUCCAUUUAACAGUGGAAAACAGCCCACCAGAGGAACAUCAUCAGUGAAUGGCUUGAAUUUCAGACUGCUCAUCACACACAAAUACUGUGGGACUUCAAAUACAGUGCAUGAGUCAAACGGACCACUUUUAUGAUGCUCCUGCAGCCUAAAAUAUUUCAACUUUUGGGUUCCACAAUAGAAAGAAACAUUUCUAGUUUUUUGGGUGAGUAAAUGAUUACAGGCUUUACAUUUUCUGUGUAAAUGAUCCCUUUAAAUCAGUGUUUCUCAAAUCUGUUCCUGAAGACUGAAUGGAAAGUAUCUUCUCUUCAUUUCACAUCAUUUCUCUGAAAGCUGGUGACUCAGAAGGAAAAGGUCUGAUGCGUUUUCCGCAUGUCAGAAGAUAUAGAUGUAGGGAAGGAGGAAGA